CGGCAUGCCUUACACAUGCAAGUCGAACGGCAGCACGGAGCAAUCCUGGUGGCGAGUGGCGAACGGGUGAGUAAUAUAUCGGAACGUGCCCAGUCGUGGGGGAUAACGUAGCGAAAGCUACGCUAAUACCGCAUACUAUCUAUGGAUGAAANCGGGGGAUCGCAAGACCUCGCGCGAUUGGAGCGGCCGAUAUCAGAUUAGGUAGUUGGUGAGGUAAAGGCUCACCAAGCCGACGAUCUGUAGCUGGUCUGAGAGGACGACCAGCCACACUGGGACUGAGACACGGCCCAGACUCCUACGGGAGGCAGCAGUGGGGAAUUUUGGACAAUGGGCGCAAGCCUGAUCCAGCAAUGCCGCGUGCAGGAUGAAGGCCUUCGGGUUGUAAACUGCUUUUGUACGGAACGAAACGGUGAGCUCUAAUACAGUUUGCUAAUGACGGUACCGUAAGAAUAAGCACCGGCUAACUACGUG
rnacentral:rRNA from 1 species